AACUUGUUUCUUGGGUGGCGAGCGGCGGACGGGUGAGUAAUGCCUGGGAAAUUGCCCUGAUGUGGGGGAUAACCAUUGGAAACGAUGGCUAAUACCGCAUGAUAGCUUCGGCUCAAAGAGGGGGACCUUCGGGCCUCUCGCGUCAGGAUAUGCCCAGGUGGGAUUAGCUAGUUGGUGAGGUAAUGGCUCACCAAGGCGACGAUCCCUAGCUGGUCUGAGAGGAUGAUCAGCCACACUGGAACUGAGACACGGUCCAGACUCCUACGGGAGGCAGCAGUGGGGAAUAUUGCACAAUGGGCGCAAGCCUGAUGCAGCCAUGCCGCGUGUGUGAAGAAGGCCUUCGGGUUGUAAAGCACUUUCAGUAGGGAGGAAGGUGGUGUCGUUAAUAGCGGCAUCAUUUGACGUUACCUACAGAAGAAGCACCGGCUAACUCCGUGCCCAGCAGCCGCGGUAAUACGGAGGGUGCGAGCGUUUAUCGGAAUUACUGGGCGUAAAGCGCAUGCAGGUGGUUUGUUAAGUCAGAUGUGAAAGCCCGGGGCUCAACCUCGGAAUAGCAUUUUGAAACUGGCAAGCUAGAGUACUGUAGAGGGGGGGUAGAAUUUUCAGGUGUAGCGGUGAAAUGCGUAGAGAUCUGAAGGAAUACCGGGUGGCGAAGGCGGGCCCCCCUGGACAGAUUACUGA
rnacentral:rRNA from 1 species